UACGUAGGGUGCAAGCGUUACUCGGAAUUACUGGGCGUAAAGCGUGCGCAGGCGGUUAUGUAAGACAGAUGUGAAUUGCCCGGGCUUAACCUGGGAACUGCAUUUGUGACUGCAUGGCUAGAGUUUGGCAGAGGGGGGUAGAAUUCCACGUGUAGCAGUGAAAUGCGUAGAUAUGUGGAGGAACACCGAUGGCGAAGGCAGCCCCCUGGGUCAAGACUGACGCUCAUGCACGAAAGCGUGGGGAGCAAGCAGG
rnacentral:rRNA from 1 species